rnacentral:lncRNA from 1 species
GGCAGGGUUCUUCCGAAGGGGACCCCACCCCCCCCCCACACCCUGCUAGCACGAAAAGCCUGGGAGCAUGAUUGGUCCGGCGGUACAGGCGCGGCUCAGACUAGUCUUGCUGUCGAGGAGGUGGAGGUCAUGAGGAUUGCAGAGGACAGAAGCCCGCAGGCACCUUCGGUGGCCACUGGCGCCUCCUCCUCUUUCCGGGAGUGAUGGAGGAAGCUGCCUCCAGGAGGACCAGAUGUGGGUGGGCUCUGGGAGGCUCCUAGCCUCCUGUGGAGGCCAGAUAGGCAGGGGAUUCAGACUGGAAGGAGAGGCCUGAGGAACUACGUUUUUGGCCAUUCUUUCCCUCACUAGUUGUUAGAUGGGCUGACUUACCUUCCUAUACCUGCGUCCUCGCCUGUAAAAUGGGUCAUCUUUCUAUUUAUGCCAGGAUUAUUGGGAAGAUAAAUGAGACCCUAUUCUGAAAGCGUGCAGCACGUAGAGAAAACUGGGGCCGCACCCCAGCUAUCCGUAUGGUCUUGUCUCUCUGGGCCAUUGUCCCUCAGACUGCCUCUGCAAGGAAGCACAGACUGGUGCCAUGGAAAGCCCGCAAGGAGAGGUCCCAUGGAAAGGCCUGGCGUGGGCAUUGUAGCCAAUAGCCCAGUCGUCUCAGCAAACACGACGACCCUGAUCUUCUGUGGCCAGAGGGGCAUCUUCCUCCCUUACAGGACCUGGAACCGACACACCUUCCCUCAGCUCCCAAAUACUGCCCCCCCAGCACCCGCUGAGUGACAGCACUGACCCCCAGCACCCGCUAAGGGACAGCACCGCCCCCCAGCACCUGCUGGGUGACAGCACUGCCCCCCAGCACCCGCUGAGUGACAGCACUGACCCCCAGUACCCGCUGAGUGGUCAGGGUGUUAUCAAUGCUUUCACCCAAAUCUGAGCACUGACACCUCUCUACAUUUGGGAGGUGACAGGAGCCCCUCCAAGCUCUGUCUGCAUGGGACGCUGCCUGGCCCACUGGCUCCCCCGGGUGCUGCUGUUCAUUCUCCUUGGACCGCUGCACCUGGUGAGAGGUGAGCUUCCUUGUGCCUCCUCUUUGGCACUUCCAGACCUGUCUCUUCCCUAGCACAAAAGCCCUAGAUUUGAACCUCAUAUCAUCAGAUCUUAACUUGUUGAAGUUGUCUGCAUGCCUGGGGGCUUCCCUAAAAUCCUUCCUGUUUUACUCCUGAUUCCCUGUCACUUUCCCCAACCACUCCUGUCAUAGUUCCUGGUGAUCUCAGAAUCCACGGGGGAUUCUCCAAUCUUCUGUACAUCCUCCCCUUCAGCAGUCCUGUCACCUUCCCAGCUGGCCACUCGCUCCCCUGGCCAGGGUCCUUCUCACAACUGCAGCCUCUCCACAGUCUAACCUCAAGGCCCACAUUCUCUGACGAGUUCCCAACCUUGCAGCUCGUGCCCUCCACUCCCCUUUAGCCCCGCCGAGAUCUGCGGUCCUUGGAUAAGACCCAGGUUAGUACUUUCUCAUCCCCUGAUGGCCUUUCCCUCCUCUGUAUCAAGAGAGACUCUCCGGAUCAGCCACUGUGCCUGCUCCCUAACCCUACCCCCCCACUCUUGCUUCAUCAGAUUCACUCGGCUGAACCAUAACCCAUGUUAAAUCCCGGCUAUCUUUGUGUCUUUGUUCCUUCUCACAGUUGGUGGAUCUGGGUGGUGCUGGUGGCUUCCCCGGGGCCCCACUCGUGCUGUCAGCUGAGGGUCAGCUAGGCUGCGAGGAUACAAGUGGCACUAUGUA